CACCGGGAGGAUAGUUUUUCGGACUUAAGGGAGUUAAUUGAAAACUAAAACAGGUUUGGAGAAGAACGGAAACGAAAACAACAAAGCUAAAUGAACACGAGGGAAUACUAGGUAAAAGCAUAUUUUACUAUUUCCCUAAUUCUUGGCAAAGACUCGAAACAGAAUCUUUUCAAACCGAGAUGAUUAAGACUAAAUCAAUAUAAAGUGCUACGGUUUUGGGGAUUGAUGC